ensembl:lincRNA 9330111N05Rik RIKEN cDNA 9330111N05 gene
AGCUUCAUCUUUGCUAGCAUUGGAGCAAACUCCCCAACAAGCCCUUGUUGGUCCAGCAACCCAGCAUCACAAAGUAGCUCAUAAGAAGCACAGGCUCUCAGAGCUGCUGACGCAGCAAAGUUGGAGGAGUGCUUGCCUAGUAUGCUUGAAGACUGGAGUGGAGGAAGGGAGAACAGAAGUUCAAAAUCAUCCUCCGCUGCGUCCUUAGAGCCUAGAAUCUCAGACUCCAUCCAAAAUUGGCAUGUUUACGAGGUCUCUUUAUAUCGCGAACUUGGGAAGAACUGAUCAGUGGGCUGGCAGAGGGUAGCCCCGUGACAUAUUUUGACGUGCAGAACGAGUGAGAAGACGUCAAUGCGGAUGCCUGCUCAAGUGUCUUCCUCCCUCCCUGUUGGAAGCUUACGCUGGAUCUCAGACAGAACCUGGACCUUCAGUGGAGUGUGGCGAUGCGUGUGACAUGUACCAAAGCAUGCUCCUGACCAGUCAGAUCGAUCAUUACAAGCCAUGAGGAACAAGCUGGUAAGCAGUGCUCCUCCAUGGUUUCUGCGUCAAGUCCUACCUCCAGGUUCCUGCCUUGAAUUCCUUCAGUGACAGACUCUUACUUCAAAAUUUAAGAUGAAACAAACCCUUUCCUCUCCAGGUUGUUUUUAGCCAUGGUGUUUCUCAUCACACUAGAAUUCCCAGCUAAGACAACCUGUCAGCUGAACACACCAUUUGCUCCAACACCAUUUGCGUUGUAUUCCAGCCACAUAAAAGCAAACAAGGACAGAAAAUUUUGAUUUCUACCUGGAAUUAAGACAGAGUAGUAGGAAUGAGUAAGGAGUGAUACACCUGGCAAGAACAGCUCAGGGAGAGCUCAAAUGAUGGCAGAGAGGCAAGGCAGAGACCAUAGCAUGGCUGGAUUGCUAAGAACGUGUUUAAGUACAUCAAAAUAUGCACUGGACUCAGAUGCUCACCUAAUGCAGUGCAACUGUAGAAGAAAGGUGGGAGGGGUCUCUUAUGUAGAGAUUGUUGGGGUUCAUCUACAUAACAUUUAGCUCAAUACUAUAUGCUUAGUUACUCUAGCAUAUAGAUACCCUGUGACUGAGUAGCUAGCCAAAUGGACUAUUUUGUCCACAGAGUGCUGCAUGAAAGUUUCCAUUCAUUCACCCUUUCUCAGUCCACUUGCAAGUACUGAAGCCUUCUGAGAACCUCAGAGGUGAAGCUGCAACCAAAUGGGAGGAGCCAGUUGCUCCAAGAGUAAGGUACCGUGUGAAGCCACCGAAAGCUGAGUUUUGGUUGUCAAUGCUUCUGGCACUAGUUGUCAUAAAUAAUGUAGUCUCUCUUUUGGUGUGCUGUUUUCUUUUACACUAUUGUAAAAAGAAACUAGAGGAUUGCAGAAAAUAAAAGUAUUACCC